rnacentral:lncRNA from 15 species
UAAUGUCAAUACAGCAGCAAAAAUAGAUCUAUUCUUAAUGACAAUUAUGGUGUUCCAGUCCCCCACAUGUCUGAGGUUCACGUACAUGAGGCACAUGGCCACAAAACAACAACCUCACUUGAGCACGGGGAGGAAAGGGAGGCCGAGGAGCAUAAAGUCUUCCAUAAGUCUGAGGGACACACACACGAGACUCAUGGCCACAAAACAACCUCACCUGAGCACGGGGAGAAAAGGCACGAGGAGGAGGAGCAUAAAGUCUCCCACAAGUCUGAGGGACAUGGACAUGAGAGUCAUGGUCACAAACCAACAGCCUCAUCUGGGCACGGGGAAGAGGAGCAUAAAGUCUCCCACAAGUCUGAGGGACAUGGACAUGAGAGUCAUGGUCACAAACCAACAGCCUCAUCUGGGCACGGGGAGGAGCAUAAAGUAUCCCAUCAUUUUGAUGGACAUGGACAUGGACAUGGACAUGAGACUCAUGGUCACAAACCAACAACCUCAUCUGGGCACGGGGUGGAGCAUAAAGUCUCCCAUAAUUUUGAUGGACAUGGACAUGGACAUGGACAUGAGACCCAUGGCCACAGAACAACAACCUCAUCUGGCCACGGGGAGGAGGAGCAUAAAGUCUCCCACAAGUCUGAGGGACACGUACAAGAGACUCACAGCCACAAACCAACAACCUCAUCUGGGCACGGGCAUGGGCAUGAGGGAGAGCAUAAAGAAGAAAAAGCUGAAAGGAAAGGUAUCUUGGCAAUGUCCUUGUAGAUGGUGAAGUUUACUAUGCAGUGCUAAACUUUUACAGCAAGCUGAGCUUAUAGCCAAAAAAUGGGAUCCUAGAAACUGAAAUAAACAGAAAUGUCUCAGUGACAUGACUGCCUUUGGAUCAAUUGAAGCUUAAGAAUGAACCUCACAAGAUAUUUUUUGCUUAUGUUCAUGAUAAUUGUGGUGUUUCAGUCUCCCA